ACAGACGGCAUUUCUCGUACUCCACUGCUUCAGAACCAGGCAUUGGCUUGUAUUGAGGGAAACAUCCGUUUCAAUGCAGAAGUUUACAAAGACAACUCAGGAUUCCGGCACCUCCAAAGUGUGGCUAGAAAAAAAAAAUCAAAGCGUACGUACCUACGUUGCAUUCAACUGUUGAGGAAGCGCCGUAUUGUCCAAGAGAAGAUUCUCUACUACACUACACUGAAGCGGCUGACGACGAAUGGCGACAAGCAGUGCAUCAUAUGAAGAGCUUGGUGAGAUGCUCUGGUUUCACCACAGUGGCUCCACUUCAGGACAUAAUGGCCAGCAGGCAACAUACACCACAUUGCAAGAGUGUAUUAUUGGAAAAGUAUGGUUGAGGAUGUCAAGCAUUUGUACACUACGUUGAGAGCUGCAAUGCAUACCAAUAUUUGGGUUCCAUCAAAACACAAGCCACCUCCACCACCACCACCACCAACACCACCAUCACCACCAUGCCAUUCAUGGAGGCGAACAAGGUGUUGGAGCUUGUAGGACUUGACAUGAUUGCUUCUUCAAGAUCUUGUCAUCCUAGCCACUCCUGAGGAAAUUUCCAGCUGAGCUGUGUCUGGGAGCAAGAAAUGAAGCAUCAGGAAUUGCACAAGCAGCGUGAAGGGAGCAUUAGGGCUGUCCAGGAAAGGCACAAAUGAAACACUGCAAUACAAUGAACAAGGGAGUCUGUCUGACUUUUACAUCAAGAGUGGAAUGUCAGUGCUAACAACAAAUAUUAGGAAUGAAACCCAGAAGGGAGGGAAAACUGAACCAAAAUGGAGUGGUCCAUACAAGACAUGAUGUUUUAGUGAUGAAUUUUUUGGUGGAGCAUGUGAGGAAGGAUCGAGGAUGGCUAGGCAGGUCAGCACCCUCAUAGUUUCCACACCACUCACUCCACUCCCCCUUAUAUCCACCAAGAGAGGCUUUGCACCACAUCUCAAGCAGAUAAGUUUUUGAAUGUCCAGCAGCAUACUGCACACUGCAGUGCCACGCAGGCACUGAGGCAUUACUGUGGUGUGUGUUGGUAGGCAGUGAUAUCAUGCUAACUGCUGGUACCCUGCAUAAUGCCGUGACAGAGAAAGAUCCUCCUGUAUGAUAGGCCGUUGUUUCUUGUCAAGGCAUUAUGCCGAGACACUCUCCCAGUAUAAUGCAGUGACAAGCACUGUUUGUGCAUUUUUGAGUGAGAAUAUCUAGAUGGACUUAAUAGUAAAUUUGUCAACUUUCUAUAACUUUGGUAUUACUGUUCUGCAUAAGAUUUGAGGGGCCGUAUUCUACAAACUGUCCUACCUAGUGACAUGAUGAUGAUGGGAUGAAGUGAUGCAUUUUAAACACAAGUUCAUCUAUGGCAGGCUGUAUCUUACCUUGUGACUUACCAUAAGUGCUAAGGCAAGGUUUGUUCAUCAUGUCAUAAUGCCGUCAACAAGGUGGAAUAUUGCUGUACAUACCAUAACAUGAUACCUAGCUGUUUUUAUCAUUGAUUAAUGAUAAAUAUCAAUAAUGAUGACUAAAUAAUGUCCUUUUUUAAUGCAGUAAUUUACCAUUAUAAAUAAUUGCCAGGAGUGGCACCACCACUUUCAGUUUGCCCCAAACUUAAACAAACCUUGCCCUGUGCAGCCUGCGUGUAUCAGGUGUCUUAUGCCAGGCUGUCGGGUGUAAUCUUCACCUGUUUGUCAGGUUUCUUUUGUUUGGAUACACUGUCAAACUAUUCCCAAAGUAGUAAUAUGUCAAAAUCAUUUAAAUUGUAGAAAAUUAUGUCAAGGAGCUGUUUGUUUAUCUAUAUGUUUAAUGUUGUUAAAUAAUAAGCCUAAAGGGCAUCAAUGGAUUGACGGUCAGGAGCUCAGUGCGAGAGAACAUUUACUGUGUGUAGAAUGCGGCCCCAGAAUGAAUGUGUGUUUUGUAUAUUCAUGGUGACUAUAUAGUGUUACAAGGGACAACUUUCUUUUCAAGACAAUCAUUGCCAUUGUGAAAUGCUUCAAAAAUAAUUUUACACACGAUAGCUCUUCCUUCUAGUUCUUGGACCUUUGUAAUGAAAAUGCUCUCAAAAUGUUAUGUUCUAUUUAUUUUGUGAUGUUAUAUUAGACAAAUAUCUGGAUGGGAAUGAUAAGUGGAAUGAGGCACUAUUAGGUAUGUUCAUACAGAGUCGGCCAUGUAUGUGCAGACUUCGUGAACCCCUCUAGCAGCUUUGUUGCUCCAAGACUUCUAAACUUAUUUUGUAUGUUGAACGUUUCCAUAGAGUAAUAUGAUACAUAAAACCUUGUACCUAGUUGAAAAUUGUAAAAAUUAUUCUAGAACAUUUUCAUAGUGAUUUAAUACUUAAAAAAAAAAAAGCAUGUACCAAGUUGAAAUUUGUUAGAAUUGUUUUGUUUAAAAUUGUGAAAAUUAUUUUCAGUUGAAAAUUGUAAAAAUUCUAUUUAGUGGAAAUUCAAAGUUGAAAUAUUUAAAGUUGAAAAUUUGGGUAGAGUUAAUUGUAAAAAUGUAAGUUGAAAUAUUUAAUGUUAAAAAUUUAGGUAAAAUAUUAAAAAUUUGGGUAGAGUUAAUUGUAAAAAUGUAAGUUGAAAAAUUAAAAAUUUGGGUAGUGUUAAUUGUAAAAAUGUAAGUUGAAAAAUUGUAAAAAUGUAAGUUGAAAAAUUCUAACUUGAAAAUUUUGGUAGAGUUUUCAGGUUAUGUAAAUUUUGUUGAUUAUUGAAUAAAAGAACGGGGGA